rnacentral:rRNA from 1 species
AUUGAACGCUGGCGGCAGGCCUAACACAUGCAAGUCGAACGAGUGGCGGACGGGUGAGUAAUGUCUGGGAAACUGCCUGAUGGAGGGGGAUAACUACUGGAAACGGUAGCUAAUACCGCAUACCAUCAGAUGUGCCCAGAUGGGAUUAGCUAGUUGGUGGGGUAACGGCUCGCCAAGGCGACGAUCCCUGUCUGGUCUGAGAGGAGGACCAGGCACACGGGAACGGAGACGAGGUCCAGACCCCUACGGGAGGCAGCAUUGGGGAAUAGUGCACAAUGGGCGCAAGCCUGAUGCAGCCAUGCCGCGUAUAUGAAGGAGGCAUUCGGGUUGUAAAGUACUUUCAGCGGGGAGGCGUUACUCGAAGAAGAAGCACCGGCUAACUCCGUGCCAGCAGCCGCGGUAAUAC